GAUGAACGCUAGCGGCAGGCUUAAUACAUGCAAGUCGUGGGGCAGCAGGUUUGUAGCAAUACAGAUGCUGGCGACCGGCAAACGGGUGCGGAACACGUACAGAACCUUCCUUUGAGCGGGGAAUAGCCCAGAGAAAUUUGGAUUAAUACCCCAUAGUAUAAUGAAGUGGCAUCACUUUAUUAUUAAAGAUUUAUCACUCGAAGAUGGCUGUGCGGCUGAUUAGGUAGUUGGCGGGGUAAAGGCCCACCAAGCCUGCGAUCAGUAACUGGCGUGAGAGCACGACCAGUCACACGGGCACUGAGACACGGGCCCGACUCCUACGGGAGGCAGCAGUAAGGAAUAUUGGUCAAUGGAGGCAACUCUGAACCAGCCAUGCCGCGUGGAGGAUGAAGGUCCUCUGGAUUGUAAACUUCUUUAUAUGGGACGAAAAAAGGCUUUUCUAAGUCGUCUGACGGUACCAUAUGAAUAAGCACCGGCUAACUCCGUGCCAGCAGCCG
rnacentral:rRNA from 1 species